rnacentral:rRNA from 1 species
GGGCGCAGCCCUGAUCCAGCCAUACCGCGUGGGUGAAGAAGGCCUUCGGGUUGUAAAGCCCUUUUGUUGGGAAAGAAAAGCAGUCGGCUAAUACCCGGUUGUUCUGACGGUACCCAAAGAAUAAGCACCGGCUAACUUCGUGCCAGCAGCCGCGGUAAUACGAAGGGUGCAAGCGUUACUCGGAAUUACUGGGCGUAAAGCGGCGUAGGUGGUUGUUUAAGUCUGUUGUGAAAGCCCUGGGCUCAACCUGGGAAUUGCAGUGGAUACUGGGCGACUAGAGUGUGGUAGAGGGUAGUGGAAUUCCCGGUGUAGCAGUGAAAUGCGUAGAGAUCGGGAGGAACAUCCAUGGCGAAGGCAGCUACCUGGACCAACACUGACACUGAGGCACGAAAGCGUGGGGAGCAAACAGGAUUAGAUACCCUGGUAGUCCACGCCCCUAACGAUGCGAACUGGAUGGUGGGUGCAAUUUGGCACGCAUUAUCGAAGCUAACGCGUUAAGUUCGCCGCCUGGGGAGUACGGUCGCAGAAUUGAAACUCAAAGAAUUUGAC